rnacentral:lncRNA from 1 species
CAAAAUUCCCCGAACACCCCAAAUUCCAGCUGCUCACCGGGCGGGGCAGAGGGGUUGGACCCCUCUGGAUUUGGGGGAUCCCCCCGAUCCCCAAUCCCUGGAAUUUCCUUGCCGGCCCCACCUGGAAAAGGAAGGACACGGGAUGGGGCAGUUUUGGGGUGCGAAAAGGCAAUUUUGGGGUCCCCCAAAACCCCCCCGGACUCACCUGGGGGCAGCGGGGGGAGCUCGAAGCUCAGCUCUUCCUCUUCCUCCUCCUCCUCCAGGGCCCUCAGGGGAUCCCGUUCCUCCAUCCCAGAAAAUUCCCAGCUUUUCUUUCCCUCCAAAAUUCCCAUUCGGGGCGUCCCCCUCUCCCUCUUUUCCCGGCACGGGGCCCUGUUCUCCUUCUUUUCCAGAAUUUUCUUGGAGUUUCCCUUUUCCUUCUUUUCCAAAGUUUCCGUUUUGGGGUUUCCCAUUUUUUCCAUUUUAGGGUUUCCCAUUUUUUCCUCGUUUUCCAUUCUGGGGUUUCCAUUUUUUCCCACAUUUUCUGUUUCUGAGAUCCCUCUUUUCCCCGUUUUUUCCAUUUUAGGGUUUCCCAUUUUUUCCAUUUUGGGGUUUCCCAUUUUUUCCUCGUUUUCCAUUCUGGGGUUUCCAUUUUUUCCCACAUUUUCCAUUUCUGAGAUCCCUCUUCUCCCCACGUUUUCCAUUUUGGGGUUUCCAUUUUUUCCCACAUUUUCCAUUUUUGGGAUCCCUCUUUUCCCCAUUUUUUCCAUUUUAGGGUUUCCCAUUUUUUCUUCUUUUUCCAUUUUAGGGUUUCCCAUUUUUUCCUCGUUUUCCAUUCUGGGGUUUCCAUUUUUUCCCACAUUUUCCAUUUCUGAGAUCCCUCUUCUCCCCACGUUUUCCAUUCUGGGGUUUCUCCUUUUUUCCUUCUUUUCCACAUUUUCCCCCUGCUCGAUCCCACUUUUUUCCGGCUCCUUCCGGGGCCGCCCCCGCCGGGGCCGAGCCUCAAUUCCCGGGGAAUUCCCGGGGGAUUUUUGGGGCCGGACCCUCCGGGCACAGGAAUUUUUCCGGCCGUUUUUGGGGGGAUCUGGGGGGAUUUGGGGCUCCUCGGGGUCGCUGUCGCUGAACGUCACCUGAAAAAAGAGGGGGAAAAAAAAGCCCCAAAAUUUCAUCCCAAAAUUUUUCCUCCACACGGAACUUUCUCCCCCUCCUCCCACCCAAAUUUUCCCCCUGAAAUUUUCUUUCCCAAAAUUUUCCUCCCCUUCCAAACUUUCACUUUCCUCCCGGAACUUCUCCCCUCCGAAGCUUUCCUUUCCCAAAUCCUUUUCCCUUCUUUCCAUUUCCACCCGCUCAAAGCUUUGUCCCCUCCCAAAUUUCCGUCCCCAAAUUUCCCUCCCCAAAAUUUCCCUCCCCAAAUUUCCCUUCCCAAAAUUUCCCUUCCCAAAUUUCCCUCCCCAAAAUUUCCCUUCCCAAAUUUCCAUCCCCAAAACUUUCCUCCCCAAAUUUCCCUUCCCAAUUUUCCAUCCCCAAACUUUUCCCCCCAAACUUCCCCUCCCCAAAUUUCCCUCCCAAAUUUUCCAUCCCCAAACUUUUCCCCCCAAAAUUUCCCUCCCCAAAUUUUCCAUCCCCAAACUUUUCCCCCCAAAAUUUC